rnacentral:misc_RNA from 1 species
GAAAUGCGAUAACUAGUGUGAAUUGCAGAAUUCCGUGAAUCAUCGAGUCUUUGAACGCGCAUUGCGCCCCUGGUAUUCCGGGGGGCAUGCCUGUCCGAGCGUCAUUGCUGCCCAUCAAGCACGGCUUGUGUGUUGGGUCGUCGUCCCCUCUCCGGGGGGGACGGGCCCCAAAGGCAGCGGCGGCACCGCGUCCGAUCCUCGAGCGUAUGGGGCUUUGUCACCCGCUCUGUAGGCCCGGCCGGCGCUUGCCGAACGCAAAUCAAUCUUUUUCCAGGUUGACCUCGGAUCAGGUAGGGAUACCCGCUGAACUUAAGC